AGAUUGAACGCUGGCGGCAUGCUUUACACAUGCAAGUCGAACGGUAACAGGCCGCAAGGUGCUGACGAGUGGCGAACGGGUGAGUAAUGUAUCGGAACGUGCCCAGUCGUGGGGGAUAACGCAGCGAAAGCUGCGCUAAUACCGCAUACGAUCUAUGGAUGAAAGCGGGGGACCGUAAGGCCUCGCGCGAUUGGAGCGGCCGAUAUCAGAUUAGGUAGUUGGUGGGGUAAAGGCUCACCAAGCCAACGAUCUGUAGCUGGUCUGAGAGGACGACCAGCCACACUGGGACUGAGACACGGCCCAGACUCCGUACGGGAGGCAGCAGUGGGGAAUUUUGGACAAGUGGGGCGCGAAGCCUGGAUCCGAGCAAUGCCGCGUGCAGGAAGAGGCCUUACGGGUUGUAAACGUGU
rnacentral:rRNA from 1 species